AUUGAACGCUGGCGGCAUGCCUUACACAUGCAAGUCGAACGGCAGCACGGGUGCUUGCCCCUGGUGGCGAGUGGCGAACGGGUGAGUAAUACAUCGGAACAUGUCCUGUAGUGGGGGAUAGCCCGGCGAAAGCCGGAUUAAUACCGCAUACGAUCUACGGAUGAAAGCGGGGGCCCUUCGGGCCUCGCGCUAUAGGGUUGGCCGAUGGCUGAUUAGCUAGUUGGUGGGGUAAAGGCCUACCAAGGCGACGAUCAGUAGCUGGUCUGAGAGGACGACCAGCCACACUGGAACUGAGACACGGCCCAGACUCCUACGGGAGGCAGCAGUAGGGAAUUUUGGACAAUGGGCGAAAGCCUGAUCCAGCAAUGCCGCGUGUGUGAAGAAGGCCUUCGGGUUGUAAAGCACUGUUGUCCGGAAAGAAAUCCUUGGCUCUAAUACAGGCGGGGGAUGACGGUACCGGAAGAAUAAGCACCGGCUAACUACGUG
rnacentral:rRNA from 1 species